UACGUAGGGGGCUAGCGUUGUCCGGAUUUAUUGGGCGUAAAGAGCGUGUAGGCGGCCAGGUAGGUCUGCUGUGAAAACUCGAGGCUCAACCUCGAGACGUCGGCGGAAACCAUCUGGCUAGAGUCCGGAAGAGGAGAGUGGAAUUCCUGGUGUAGCGGUGAAAUGUGCAGAUAUCAGGAAGAACACCCGUGGCGAAGGCGGCUCUCUGGGACGGUACUGACGCUGAGACGCGAAAGCGUGGGGAGCGAACAGG
rnacentral:rRNA from 1 species